rnacentral:rRNA from 1 species
CCCGCUCGCCGGAAGACCAAGGGUUCCUGUCCAACGUUAAUCGGGGCAGGGUGAGUCGACCCCUAAGGCGAGGCCGAAAGGCGUAGUCGAUGGGAAACAGGUUAAUAUUCCUGUACUUGGUGUUACUGCGAAGGGGGGACGGAGAAGGCUAUGUUGGCCGGGCGACGGUUGUCCCGGUUUAAGCGUGUAGGCUGGUUUUCCAGGCAAAUCCGGAAAAUCAAGGCUGAGGCGUGAUGACGAGGCACUACGGUGCUGAAGCAACAAAUGCCCUGCUUCCAGGAAAAGCCUCUAAGCAUCAGGUAACAUCAAAUCGUACCCCAAACCGACACAGGUGGUCAGGUAGAGAAUACCAAGGCGCUUGAGAGAACUCGGGUGAAGGAACUAGGCAAAAUGGUGCCGUAACUUCGGGAGAAGGCACGCUGAUAUGUAGGUGAAGUCCCUCGCGGAUGGAGCUGAAAUCAGUCGAAGAUACCAGCUGGCUGCAACUGUUUAUUAAAAACACAGCACUGUGCAAACACGAAAGUGGACGUAUACGGUGUGACGCCUGCCCGGUGCCGGAAGGUUAAUUGAUGGGGUCAGCGCAAGCGAAGCUCUUGAUCGAAGCCCCGGUAAACGGCGGCCGUAACUAUAACGGUCCUAAGGUAGCGAAAUUCCUUGUCGGGUAAGUUCCGACCUGCACGAAUGGCGUAAUGAUGGCCAGGCUGUCUCCACCCGAGACUCAGUGAAAUUGAACUCGCUGUGAAGAUGCAGUGUACCCGCGGCAAGACGGAAAGACCCCGUGAACCUUUACUAUAGCUUGACACUGAACAUUGAGCCUUGAUGUGUAGGAUAGGUGGGAGGCUUAGAAGUGUGGACGCCAGUCUGCAUGGAGCCGACCUUGAAAUACCACCCUUUAAUGUUUGAUGUUCUAACGUUGACCCGUAAUCCGGGUUGCGGACAGUGUCUGGUGGGUAGUUUGACUGGGGCGGUCUCCUCCUAAAGAGUAACGGAGGAGCACGAAGGUUGGCUAAUCCUGGUCGGACAUCAGGAGGUUAGUGCAAUGGCAUAAGCCAGCUUGACUGCGAGCGUGACGGCGCGAGCAGGUGCGAAAGCAGGUCAUAGUGAUCCGGUGGUUCUGAAUGGAAGGGCCAUCGCUCAACGGAUAAAAGGUACUCCGGGGAUAACAGGCUGAUACCGCCCAAGAGUUCAUAUCGACGGCGGUGUUUGGCACCUCGAUGUCGGCUCAUCACAUCCUGGGGCUGAAGUAGGUCCCAAGGGUAUGGCUGUUCGCCAUUUAAAGUGGUACGCGAGCUGGGUUUAGAACGUCGUGAGACAGUUCGGUCCCUAUCUGCCGUGGGCGCUGGAGAACUGAGGGGGGCUGCUCCUAGUACGAGAGGACCGGAGUGGACGCAUCACUGGUGUUCGGGUUGUCAUGCCAAUGGCACUGCCCGGUAGCUAAAUGCGGAAGAGAUAAGUGCUGAAAGCAUCUAAGCACGAAACUUGCCCCGAGAUGAGUUCUCCCUGACUCCUUGAGAGUCCUGAAGGAACGUUGAAGACGACGACGUUGAUAGGCCGGGUGUGUAAGCGCAGCGAUGCGUUGAGCUAACCGGUACUAAUGAACCGUGAGGCUUAACCUUACAACGCCGAAG